UACGUAGGGACCGAGCGUUGUCCGGAAUCAUUGGGCGUAAAGGGCUCGUAGGCGGUUUGUCACGUCAGGAGUGAAAACUCGGGGCUCAACCCCGAGCCUGCUUCUGAUACGGGCAGACUGGAGGUAUGCAGGGGAGAACGGAAUUCCUGGUGUAGCGGUGAAAUGCGCAGAUAUCAGGAGGAACACCGGUGGCGAAGGCGGGUCUCUGGGCCGAUACUGACGCUGAGGAGCGAAAGCGUGGGGAGCGAACAGG
rnacentral:rRNA from 1 species